GCUGAUUUGGCCGAGUGGUCUAAGGCGGUGGUUUUAAGACAAUACGACGUCACCAUUAUCGAGAGAUGCGUGAGUUCGAACCUCACAGUCAGCA
rnacentral:tRNA from 1 species